UACGUAGGGUGCAAGCGUUGUCCGGAAUCACUGGGCGUAAAGGGCGCGUAGGCGGCUUUAUAAGUCGGGGGUGAAAGCCUGUGGCUCAACCACAGAAUUGCCUUCGAUACUGUAGAGCUUGAGACCGGAAGAGGUAAGUGGAACUGCGAGUGUAGAGGUGAAAUUCGUAGAUAUUCGCAAGAACACCAGUGGCGAAGGCGGCUUACUGGUCCG
rnacentral:rRNA from 1 species